GAUAACUGGCUUGUGAUAGCCAAGUGUUUAUAGCGACGCCACUUUUUGAUCCUUCGAUGUCGGCUCUUACAAUCAUUGUGAAGCAGAAUUCACCAAGUGUUAUAUUGUUCACCCACUAACUUGGAAUGUGAGCUGAGUUUAGACCGGUU
rnacentral:ncRNA from 1 species